UCUCCCCUAAUUUUUUUCAUAAUUCUCAUAAUUUUCUAUAAAUAUUUUUGUUUUUAUAUUUGAUAUUUAUUCUGGAUCGUGAUCGGCACGAUUGAUCUAUGUCGGAUAGCAUGCCGUUCCACCAAGUGGAUGAUCUAAUCAAUAAAUGCACUGAAAACUGAUUACAAUUAUAGAGCCAGUCAUUUUCUGGGCCGGUGGACU
rnacentral:lncRNA from 1 species